rnacentral:tRNA from 1 species
UGGGAUGUAGCUCAUGGUAGAGCAUUUGUCUAAUACACACAAGGUCUUGGGCUCAAUUCCCAGUACCACAC